CGUUUUUCUGCUCAGUGGGUCGGUGCAUCUGGCUAUUAAGCAGAAGGUUGGUGGUUCAAGCCCACCCAGAGACGG